rnacentral:rRNA from 1 species
CAGCAGCCGCGGGAAUACGUAGGGUGCGAGCGUUAAUCGGAAUUACUGGGCGUAAAGCGGGCGCAGACGGCUACUUAAGCAGGAUGUGAAAUCCCCGGGCUCAACCUGGGAAUUGCGUUCUGAACUGGGUGGCUAGAGUGUGUCAGAGGGGGGUAGAAUUCCACGUGUAGCAGUGAAAUGCGUAGAGAUGUGGAGGAAUACCGAUGGCGAAGGCAGCCCCCUGGGAUAGCACUGACGUUCAUGCCCGAAAGCGUGGGUAGCAAACAGGAUUAGAGACCCCAGUAGUCCCUGUCUCUUAUAC